rnacentral:tRNA from 1 species
AAAGAUUUAGUUAAAUAAUAACAUUAACUUGUCAAGUUAAAAUAACUUUAAAAGUAAUCUUUU